UACGUAGGGUGCGAGCGUUGUCCGGAAUUAUUGGGCGUAAAGGGCUCGUAGGCGGUUUGUCGCGUCGGGAGUGAAAACACACAGCUUAACUGUGUGCUGGCUUCCGAUACGGGCAGACUAGAGGUAUGCAGGGGAGAACGGAAUUCCUGGUGUAGCGGUGAAAUGCGCAGAUAUCAGGAGGAACACCGGUGGCGAAGGCGGUUCUCUGGGCAUUACCUGACGCUGAGGAGCGAAAGUGUGGGGAGCGAAC
rnacentral:rRNA from 1 species